CAAAACGGAGGAAAAGAAACCAACCGGGAUUGCCUUAGUAACGGCGAGUGAAGCGGCAAAAGCUCAAAUUUGAAAUCUGGUACCUUCGGUGCCCGAGUUGUAAUUUGGAGAGGGCAACUUUGGGGCCGUUCCUUGUCUAUGUUCCUUGGAACAGGACGUCAUAGAGGGUGAGAAUCCCGUGUGGCGAGGAGUGCGGUUCUUUGUAAAGUGCCUUCGAAGAGUCGAGUUGUUUGGGAAUGCAGCUCUAAGUGGGUGGUAAAUUCCAUCUAAAGCUAAAUAUUGGCGAGAGACCGAUAGCGAACAAGUACAGUGAUGGAAAGAUGAAAAGAACUUUGAAAAGAGAGUGAAAAAGUACGUGAAAUUGUUGAAAGGGAAGGGCAUUUGAUCAGACAUGGUGUUUUGUGCCCUCUGCUCCUUGUGGGUAGGGGAAUCUCGCAUUUCACUGGGCCAGCAUCAGUUUUGGUGGCAGGAUAAAUCCAUAGGAAUGUAGCUUGCCUCGGUAAGUAUUAUAGCCUGUGGGAAUACUGCCAGCUGGGACUGAGGACUGCGACGUAAGUCAAGGAUGCUGGCAUAAUGGUUAUAUGCCGCCCGUCUUG
rnacentral:rRNA from 1 species